UUUGCCUCUCACCUUGUAGCUCAUUUUUUAAUACUAUUUACAUGUAUGGAAAGCUAACGAAAUUACCCUUGUUGACAUUUCAAUUUCGUCGAAUUUGGAGUUACAAUGCGUUCGGUAGACGAUGUUGAAUUUGAAGGUCACAAGUAGAUUUUUGCUGAAUUAGUAAUUGAACAGACCUUCACUAAAAUGGUAAUUAAUCUCUCUAUAACUCCAAAUUUAGUGGGGUUUGAUUAUGUGGAAAGCUAACUCGAUUACGGUCGUUUCGGUAUCAGUUUUGUGAAUUAUUGAUCCAAAUUGAGUUCUGUGCGAAGCUUUGAACUUGAGGCUCAAAUACAGAUUUUGUGCAGAAUUUUGGUGGGGGGCAAAAUCCAACAAAUUAUAAAAUAGGGGGGUAAAAUUCCGCAUUUUUCAAAACAAGGGGGUAAAACUGCAUUUAAGCCUAUUUUAUUCUGUCAUAUUUUAGUUUAAAACUAACUAUGAAAUAAUCUGAUGACGUUCAGAGGUUGCUGUUGUUGAUUUGAGGUGGGAAAUAGUGCGUUUGGAGAUUCGUUAGAUUCAAUUUGAUGGUGGAGAUUUGUUUAUGCACACCAUGCAUAAGUUUAUUCCUUAUGCAUAAUAACUCAUGCCGAAGGGUGGUAUACACCACUAUCACUAUAAGAAUAACAUAUGAUACUUACAAAACAGAUAAUGUAUAUUUUCGCGGGGUCAAUCCAACAUAAAUAUUACUCCUAAUAAUAUAUUUAUACAUAUAUGAAGACUUGAUAUCUUAUAUUUAUGACCCGUAAUAUAUUGUCAUCAGUCUACUUACAUAUGUUUUAUUGUUAUCCCAUUUCACAAUAAAUUUUGGCAUAAACAUUUUAAGAUAUAUGUCCUUAUGUUUAAUGAAAUCUCACGAUUAAAUCAAACUUAAUAUUCAUACUUGCGGGGAAGACCCGUUAUUUAUAGUUUGGCUGCAAAGUGAUAAAUCUCCAUGUUGUUGUUAUCUUCACACACUUGGGUUUGUUUCGCAUAUGUUCAACAAAUAUGUUUAAAUUGGAAGCUAGGGUGCUACCUCCAAAAUUAAGAUAAAAAAAGAAAAUUAAAUACCGCUAUUUUCUACUUUAACAUCGUCACAAAGUAUAAGGGUGUGUUUGUUUCAAGGUUUGUAAUGUUAUUCCUGGGAAUAUGAGAUCUGGAAUGUAACAUUACUAUGUUUGUUUCAAGUUUUGAAAAUUUGUUCCCAGGAAUGUUAAUUACACAUAACUUCUACACUUGUUAUUCCCAUGCUAAUAGGGUGAGAAUAUAACAUUCCCAUGGGAAUAAAACUCAACUUCGUAUAACUUCUCAUAACUUCCCACUACCACUCACAUUUAUUUGCAUUUUUAAUUUUUCAAUUUUUUAUUUAAUAUAAAUUUUAAAAACAUUCUCAGGAAAUCUAAAUUUUAACCAAACACAUGAGUAGGAAUAUUAUUCCUGAAAAUAAUAUUCCUAGGAAUAUCAUUCCAAGGAAUACAAUUUCAUACCUUGAAACAAACACACCCUAAAAACAAAAUUAUAACUGCAACGUCUAUGAAAUUUGGAAAAGAAAAAAAUUACAAUUAUUGGAUGCCAACACAUUAAUUAAGUGAUAGGUUAUGGUAUUUCAAAAUAGGUUUAACUACAUAUUUGGUCAUUUACGUUUAUUUUAGGUUUCAAUUUGGUCUCUUACGUUUAAAAAGUAUUAAUUUGGUCUCUUACGUUUAUUUUAGGUUUCAAGUUAGUCCUUUCCGUCAAUUUUGUCACAUGUGACAGUCAAUUUGCAUAUGUGGACAGACACGUGGCACUUGUACAUGCUGACACGUGUACUGUUCAAACGGUGUUAGUGACAAAACUAACGGAAAUGACUAACUUGAAACCUAAAAUAAACGUAAGGGACCAAAUUGAUACUUUUUAAACGUAGGGGACCAAAUUGAAACAUAAAAUAAACAGAAUAACACAUAUUGCUCAUUUAUUUUUCUAAUAAAACAAUAACUCAUUCUUAUUCAUAGAGCAUUUUUGUACUCUCUUGGAUCUUGUACUCUUAGAAUCAGAAUCAGGGAAUGUUUUCUAUAAAUGUGCAUUUGUGAUCAAUGCACUUCAUAAGAAAAUGAGAGCACGUAUGAGGUGGACAAUCGGCAUCGGUUUGACAUUGAUUAUUAUUUGCUGUAAUAAACAAGUAACAAGUAAUAAAAUAAUUUAAUUAAAAUCAUAACAAAUUGUGUAUAUGUAUAAACUAAUAAAGAAGGAAAUUUGAAAAAAAAUGAAUGAUUAUCUUACCACCACCAACUUUCAUUACGAAAAGAAAUAGAAUCAUAGCAUAAACGAAUUUUAGAAUUUCAGCCAUUUUGCUACCACUUUGCGUGUACUAAAUAUAAUAUGAAUUUAUUUAUAGUUUAUAAAGUUCAUGCUGUCUUAAAAAAUAAUUAAAUAAUGUUUAG
rnacentral:lncRNA from 1 species